rnacentral:rRNA from 1 species
GGGAAUCUACCCAUCUCUGCGGAAUAGCUCUGGGAAACUGGAAUUAAUACCGCAUACGCCCUACGGGGGAAAGAUUUAUCGGGGAUGGAUGAGGCCGCGUUGGAUUAGCUAGUUGGUGGGGUAAAGGCCUACCAAGGCGACGAUCCAUAGCUGGUCUGAGAGGAUGAUCAGCCACAUUGGGACUGAGACACGGCCCAAACUCCUACGGGAGGCAGCAGUGGGGAAUAUUGGACAAUGGGCGCAAGCCUGAUCCAGCCAUGCCGCGUGAGUGAUGAAGGCCUUAGGGUUGUAAAGCUCUUUCACCGGUGAAGAUAAUGACGGUAACCGGAGAAGAAGCCCCGGCUAACUUCGUGCCAGCAGCCGCGGUAAUACGAAGGGGGCUAGCGUUGUUCGGAAUUACUGGGCGUAAAGCGCACGUAGGCGGAUAUUUAAGUCAGGGGUGAAAUCCCAGAGCUCAACUCUGGAACUGCCUUUGAUACUGGGUAUCUUGAGUAUGGAAGAGGUAAGUGGAAUUGCGAGU